rnacentral:lncRNA from 1 species
GUCAACUGCCCCGUGAAUGGUCCCCAACCAUUUGAAAAGGUUGUCUGAUUCAGGGAGGGCAGAAAUCCCUUUGUCACCUGACGUCAUGAGGGUCAUCAGCUCCUGCUGUAGCGUCUUGCCCACGGGGCCCCGGGUGGUGACCCCACUGGGCUCAGCAAAGUUGUGGGUGGUGGUGACACUGGCAGUGGCUGGGUCUCAGUUCUGGGAAGCCAUCCAGGUGGCACCAGCAGGGAGACGUAAACUCAGCACGACCACAGCCCAGAUUUAGAAGGUUCUCUUUUUGUGGAGCCCAGACUUCUAACAGGAUUACCAACACCAAAGAAGCCUGUUUGUGAAUACACAGAUUUUAUGCAUUUUAUGCAUACAAACUAAAAAUAAUUUAAAAACUGAGAUCAGUCAUCCUAGAAGGAAGAAUGAUUAUUUUUCUAUUUUCUCUGUAGAAAGUAACAGUAUAAAAUAAUUGUAAUAUGAAAGGCUGAUCAAAAAGUAAGCAGCCAAAAAAUGUACAGGUAGAAGUAUUAUAGGGGUAUGUUAACCGUGAAAUAAUUUAAAAUGUGAUUUAUUGUAUUUUCCAGCUUUUAAAAAUUGUAAUUUGAUGUAACCUCUUUUCCCAUUCUAAAUGUAUAUUUAUUUUUAUAUUUAAUUUUUAUUUAUAAUAUUAUAUUCCUUCUCUUUAAGAACCCCCUCCCUUCCCCUCCCCAUUGUAUAAAUGUCAGGUGCUACAGUGGCCAGUCCUGCUUAGUUUCCUUCACUGAUGCCUCCUUUUCUCUCUGAUUUCCAAACUUUGGAGAGCCCCAGGGCUCAGUUCUUAGACUUUUCCUUGUCUGGAUUAACUCCCCAGGUAUAUGGGUAGUCAGGGUUUAACCAGAGAAGCAGAACCACAAUGGAAUUGGGAUUUAUUGUUGGGAUGAGACCUUAUACCAUUGGGAAGGAAGGUCUGACAUGGGGCAGGAAGAGAUCUGAGCGCAAUUCCUGAGUAGGAAGCACUGGGGUGAUGGACAGAGUUGGGACUCCCAGAGGCACAUCCACCUGCUACCGUGGGACUACAGCAGAGAGAUGGAGAAGUCUAGGGAAGGCCGUUGCCUCUGAGUCUGGUGGUGGGCUCGGGGCCACUGUUGGCCAAGAGGGCCACCAGUUGGGAAGAGGAGCUGGAUGAGAGGGGGAGAGAAGAGCUGGAGCCACCAGUGCCUAAGUGUCUGUCUCUGUCCGCAGCUAAUCGAACACCGUCAGGGAGUAAUGACGGCUGCUUCACUCCCGCCUCCCAGAUUCAUGCACAUCUCUUUUUCGGUCAGUCUUAAUAUGGAACCAUACAAGAAGAAAGAUUCUGGAAUAUACUUCUGUUUGGCCAAGCGGGCACAGUUCAAAAGCACAUGCGAGGUAAUCUCACUUUGUCUUGUGGCUUUAAUUCCACACAUACUCUGAUGGUUCACAAAUUUCUAAUCCCUGUCCGGCCUUCUCUGGAAUCCAGAUUUAUGUCUGACCCCCUCCUCAAGUCACCACUUAGAUAUUUAAUAGACGUUUCAAACCUAACAUAUAAGAAAAAUGAGCUCCUAAUCUGCUUUCCUGAACCUGUUCUUUCCAGAAUCUUCCUCUGAGGAAGCGUCCAGGUGCUCUGGCUAAAAAUCUCGGGAUUGUACUUUACUCCUCUCUGUCCCACCCAACAAGUAAUCGAUCAGAAAAUCCCAUUGGCUCUUCCUUCAAGAAAUAUCCAUGACUUACUACUUCUACUGUAGAAGCCCCCCCUUCCAAAAGAUUCAUACCCGAACCCCUAGACUCUGUGAAUAUUACCCAAAAUGGCUUUAAAAAGGGGGUCUUUAAUGAUCUUGAAAUGGGGAGAUCAUAAAUGGGGAGAUCAUCCACAUGAGACCUAAAUACAAUCACAUGUAUCCUUAAGGAGGAGACAGAGGGAGAUUUGGGAUCUCCCCCAGAGGAGAAGGGGGAUAUGAAGAUGGAGAAGAGAGAGGUGAGAAGAUGUCAGCCUGGAAGAUUGGAAAGAUGUGGCCACAAGUCAAGGAAUGGCACAGCUACCAGAAGCGCUCAGAGGCAAGAAGUGGAGUCUAGAGAACACACAGCCUUGCUAACACCUGGCUUGUGGUCCAGUGAUACUGACUUUGGUCUUCUGGACUCCAGAACUGCGACAGAGGAAGUUUCUGUUGUCUCGAACACCAAGUGUGUGAUAAUUUGUUACAGCAGCCACCAAAACCAGUUUACCACUUCCUCUCUGACAGCCAUGUUGCAGAGUGCCACAGAGUGUCUGGAUUAUUCCAGUAGCCUCCUGUCUCACUGACCACUCUGCUUCUACCAUUGUCCCGCUCACUGUGGUCUAAUCUCCGCACAGCAGCCACAGUGUACCUUUAAAAAUGUAAUUCACAUUACGUCACUCAUCUUUCGAAACCCUUCCAUUAUUUCCCUUCUCAGGGUACGAUAUACUGUUUUCAUAAUCAACUUACAGAGCUCUAUUUAACUUGGUCCCUUUUUACCUGUCUGACUUUCUCUCUGACAUUCCACUUUCAUACCAUUAGCUUCCUUGAUGUUCCUCGAGCCUCGAGCCUCGAAGUCUGACAUACCUAUUCUUGUUUAGUUGUUUAAUUCUUCACCCUCCCCCAUUAAAAUGUGAGCUCUGUGAGGGCAGGGGUAUCUAUCUGGAUUUUUUUUUUUUCUACCAGCAUUGUAUCCCCGAUACCUAGAAAGGGCUAUGAUGCAUAAUGGAUACUGAAUAGUAUUUAUUGAAGGAAUGAAUUAUCCAAGAAUGCUCAGUUAGUUUUACAUCACAUUUUACUUCAUUAAAAGUUCUUGCACUGAGUUGUAAUAAGCAAUCACCCACCUCAUUCCUUGGUUUCAUUAAUAUUCUCUGGAGAUGGUAAUGCUUCCACUUUUCCAAAUGUCACUCUGGUCAGCAGCUGAACCAUAUGUUGGAUUCAGUCAUAAUGUAAAUAAUGGGACUAUCAUGCAUUGUAGAAAGGAAGGCCUUCCCCCCAUUUCUGUGUCCUCCUCAUUCCCCUGGUUUAAACUGGAAGGAAGGGCUUCAGUGGGAAUUUGGUAUUCCUUUAAGGGGUUUUCCCAAUCCAACAGUCUGAUCCCGGCUGUGGGUUUAAUAAGCACCAUUCAGCGCAUCUAUCCACCUCUUCCAAUUCUCCCUCCCCCAGUCACUUCCUGUCACAGCAACCCUUUCAAAAUUAAACUCCAAUUCUAAAACAAAUGAAGCAAAGGCAGGAAGGGGGGAUGAAUCACAGCAUAUGGGAACAGUUUUGUUUGAAAGCAUGAUCAGCAUUCUUUGCAAACAAGCUGUGACCAUAUGUGGCAGGGUGGGUAUAGACUGAGUUUUAAAAUACAAGUGAUAAACUGUGAGAAGUGUCUGAGUUAGAAAGCUCAUUAAUGAUUGGUUUGAUAGUAAGAAGUGAUACCUUGAAAGAAGUCUCUCUCUCUCUCUCUCUAAGGAGAUAGAUAUUUCUGUGCCUUUUUAUAUAUUGAAAGAUUGCAAAGAGGUGGCCUGUAGUGAGUUAAAAUUCUUGCCAUGUAUUAGCAGAGAAGCCAUGGACAAUUGGUUAGGACUUGGCUAAAACCAAGGUCACUUGAAUUCAAAUUUAUNNNNNNNNNNNNNNNNNNNNNNNNNNNNNNNNNNNNNNNNNNNNNNNNNNNNNNNNNNNCUCUCUCUCUCUCUCUCUAAGGAGAUAGAUAUUUCUGUGCCUUUUUAUAUAUUGAAAGAUUGCAAAGAGGUGGCCUGUAGUGAGUUAAAAUUCUUGCCAUGUAUUAGCAGAGAAGCCAUGGACAAUUGGUUAGGACUUGGCUAAAACCAAGGUCACUUGAAUUCAAAUUUAUUGAUAUACCAACAGAAGUUAUUUUGAGAACCAGGUCUGUUGCCUCUAGGUGCUCAUCCCUAAGGAAGAGAGAAAAGAGACGUAAAAGAUGUGUAUGUGUUUCUUUUAUUGAUUGAUUCACUUUAAUAAAUAUUUGUGAGUUCGGACCAAAAGCCAGGCACAGGGUUAAGCCAGGCCCUAGAUAUUUGGUGAAGAGCAAAGAUCCUGGGUAUUGUACGGUAAGCAAAAAUCAUCACAGUUCCUGCCUUCAUGAAGCUUACAGUCCAGAGGGAACAUAGUAAUCAAAUAAUCGCACAAACAAAUGAAAAAUAACAACUGUGGUUUGGGUUACCAAGGAGAACAACGGUAUGGUUUCUAUGAGAGACUCUGAUGGGAAGCCUGACCUGGUCUGAGAAGUCAAUAAUGAUGGUUGACUUACAGCUGAGAGACAGGUUAUUUAAGAGGGGACAGGGGUGUGCUCAGAAUUCAGGGCAGAAAGGGAGAUGUGCACAGUUGCCCUGGGACAGGGGGGGUUGCAAUGUAUUCAAGGAGCUAUAACAAGUACAGUGAAGGACCAUGAAUCUGGAGCUUGAAAGUAAGAAGUCAAGAGACAGAAAAAAAGAGGUAGGAAGGGGCAUGACUACCCAGUGCCUUGUGGGUUAUGUUAAGGAUUUUGAUUUCAUUCUCAAGAAGCCAUUGGGAAGGGGGUUGGGGCAGCUAAUCAAGAACACAGCCCCCCCCCCCCAAGCUCUCUCUAUAGCCCUCCCCCUAACCUUUCUCUUAUGCCUCCCUCCCCAGCCGAGCUCUCUCUUAUACGCCUCCGUUUUGGGUCACAGACAAUGUGCUGUAGGGAGGUACAAGGGGGAAAAAAAAAAAAAAAAAAAAAAAAAAGUGAACCAGAAACUUACUGAUCUCCUCUCAUAAGGCUUACGGUCUAGGAUGCAACAUGCGAGAUAAAGAUAGUCCAUUAAUAAAUACUUUCAAUUUACAUAAUGUAACAAAAGAACAACAUAGGAGUCUCUGAGAUCGAAUGACAGUGGUCCUCUCCUUGGGUAGAACUAACUGGAGAACCUCAGGGAAGCUUUCUUCUGAAAGUUAGGUUGACUAAGUGUUAUUGAUAUGAUUAUUGGAAAUUUCAAUGCGCCUUGUAUCUUCUACUCCCAAUCCCUGUUUCGUUAGGUGACCUUGACUUUCAUGCUUUCUCCCUCUGUAUAUAAAUGGCAGGGAGUAGGUAGCAAAGCGCUUGUGUUUCUGGAAAAUGCAAAAGCCCAUUUAUUCUGAGUGCCAACUCUGGGACAUACACGGUGGUAAAUGAAACAAUAAACUAUCAGAUCAUUGGGCAGCUCUGAUUUUGUUCUGUCUAUAUAUAAUCCACCAGGAGGGUAGUAGUAUUGAUAUUUCUAAAUUAACACCCUUUUCCUUACUAAACCAAUUACUUCCAACAUGUUACAGUUCAUCACCUCAAAAUAGUUUUGUUUUUUUUUUUCCAAUCAGUCGAAGACAGAAAAUCCAUAAGCAGUUUAUCAGUGUGUGAUGCUGUUUGCAUUUCAGUGCUGCUCCCAAUUUGGAUUUUCAUCAUUCUUUGUACUCUUAGCCCAAUCCCUUCACAAAUUAAUGUAUUUGUGUGAAAACAAGCAGCAAUUCUUGUUUAUAAACGUAGUCUGGAAAUCAGCCAGAGCGUACUCACUAGAAACUUCGGGUGUGGUUGAUUGUUCCUGAAGAUAAAGCUCAAUAUUGUUAUUCUUCUAAAUUGACCUAGCCCUUUCCUGAAACAUACCAGCCUUGGCCUACGAUGGAAUUGUAUGUGGUAAUCCACAAGCAGCUGUUGAGCAUGGUUUGAAUUCUAUCUGAACCACUUGCCGUAUCCGUUUAAUGUACUUGAUAAUUCUGAUUUAAUUCUGUAUCAAUCAUUUAACAGUAUAUAUCUUGGACAAGUUACUUAAAUUCUCUGAGUUUCCCUUUUAUCUUUAGUAAAGUAGCAAUAGUUACAUCUGCUUUGCCCUUUUGGUCUAGUUGUGAAAUUAAAUGAGAAAGUUUGUGAUUAUUCUUUGUAAACUCAGUAUUUAUGUGUAGGAUGCCAUUCUUACUACACAUGGUAGAAUCGCAUCACUUGACCCCUAGUUCUUCACCCCGUCCUGUAAGUAAGCCCUUGGACGUGUGAAUUUGCAAGUCCCUUUCUCAAGAGGGAGGGUAUAUCUCCCUGCCUCUUGACUUUAGUUUGGAUGUAUCACUUGCUUUGGCCCACAGAAUAUGGUAAAAGUGACAGGAUGCGGCUCUGAGCCGAGGUCUAAAGAAGCCAAAUAUGUCUCUGCUUGUUUUUGUGUGCUGUGCCAAGUUCCAUGAGAAGAACACAUCUCUGGUCCCAAGAAGAUGAGAGGCGUGUGGAACAAAGCCACUCCAGUCUAGCUAUCCCAGCUCAGCCCGGCCUACACCAGCUGACUCCCAGCUGACCUGCAGAUACGUGGGUAAGUCUAGCCCAGGUCGGCAGAACACCCAGGCGAACCAUGUGAAUUAAAUAAAUGUGUAUUGUUAUGUAGCACUGACGUUUUGGUAUCAUUUUGAAUGUAGAAUUAUUGUAGUCAUAACUGACUGAUCUGUCACCCAUCAGCCAUCCACCUAUUCAGCUCCUUAAACAUCCUUUGGUUCACUAAGACUAAGGUAUCUUCAAGGGAAAAAGACAAGAGACUUCAGUUUUGAGUAGAUUUUUCCUUCUCUCCCUUCUCUUUUCUUCUUUUCCUUCUCUUUACCUAAUUUCAAAAGUAAAUUGUUCAAGAGUUGCAAAUAUGAGAUUUUCCACAUAGCACUCCAAAUAGACUGAAUAGAAGGCUCAGUAGAGAUCUAACAAAUAAUGUUUUAGUGAAAAUGUUUACUUCUAACUGGUAUGUAGAUGAGGAAUCUCUUAGGAUCACAUGCUGUCUUGUUUAUUGUCUGAUUUAUAAACAAGACUGAUCUACAAGUAUAUGCAAAAGGUGGAGACAGGGCCUGAAAUUUCACUAAGAGCCUUAGUGUGCCACUAGAUUUGGGAGUCUUUUAGGACACCUGUAUGAUGAGCUAACAAUUCAAUGUAACACACGCAUAUUGAGUGUAUACCACACAUGAGGCAUAGUGUAAGGUCCUGGGGAAAUAGAAAUGAACAAGACAGAGUAGCUCCCUCUUAAUGAUCCAGUAAGGGAAAUGAAAUGCAAAUUACUCAUGAUACUGUAUCUAUUAAUUCUGUAACGCGCUUUUUUUGUACUUUGGAAAUCAAGAUGGCGUGUCAUAGUUUAGUUGAUAGUGGUUUUUUCAUUCUUUGUGGUAUAGAGGAUAAUGAUGCAGAUUAUACUUGAUAACCCUCUUAGAGCCACGAAAAUACAGAAGUAAGUUACUAUGAGAACAGCGUAUAUACUAUGUCAUAGGAUCAAAAAGCAAGGAGGGAUUGCUUCUCCCAGAUAACCCGGAGAGAGACUUCAUAGAGGAAGAAACAUUUAUAGAAGAUGGAUUUCAACAAGAAAAAGUGCUAGAAUAAAGACCACUGUAGGUCGAUUGGUUCCUAAACUUUCUGUCACCGAGGGGUACUUUUAUUGCCUGUCUCUUUCCCUGUCCCAUGUUGUUUUUACAACGAUUUUGUCAUUAUAAAUAAAUUUACAUUUAUCAAGAGAUACUUCUCAACUUGAUAGCAAAAGCCAUACGUUACUGUAAUCAGAAUUUCUAAUCAGAUGAGAUACUCCGUACUCUCCUACUGAGUUAGCAUUUUUGGCCAAAAGCCAAGAAAUUUAAUAUUUUAGUUUGUACUAGGGUUUUUGAAAUAUUGACAAGCAUUCAUCCUAGAUGGGAAUGCCAUUCUACAUGAAAAAUGCAUCAUAAGAAAAUAAAUAGACAUGGGACCCACAGGUUGUGAUCCUUAAUAUGGUUUGCCUAGUGCUUUGUGCAAAAGAGGAAAGAGUAGAAGAGGUGAGACAGGAAGUAAGAGAGGUCCAGCUCGCAGAGUCUUGAACGUCAUCCUUAGGAAUUUAGACUUUUAUUGUAGCUAUCACUGAAAAAAUCAUUCGCUUGAAUAUGAAAGGACAUAUAGUUUGAAUUUGGCUACCAAAAAAAGAAGAAGAAGAAGAAGAACUCAUCUAUAUCAUAACCACAAGAAGUAGAUAUUGGAUGCCUAAAUUGCUACCAAAAGGACACAGACAUGCCACAGCCUGUGUGUUCACCUAUAGCACGGCAGCUGCCACUAAGUGUAGGAGUGUGUAAGCUUCACCAUCAGUUCUCUGUUUCUGAUGUGAGGAUUCCAAGCAGAGUAUUGCGUAAUAGUAAGAGUUUAACUUCUGGAGUUAAACCACCUAGGUGCAUGUUCCAAUUCCACUGCGUGGCCUUAGGUAAGUUAUUGAAGACCUUUGACCUUCAGUUUUCUUAUUUAUAAGUGGAGACAAUGAUGUUAUCAAUAUUAGAAGCUAUUUGUAAAAAUGACAUAAUUUUUGUCAGUUGUCUGAUGCAUAGUUAGCGAGACUUAACAAUUAGUUUCUUUUAGAACUUGCUUGGAAAUCCAAAUGUCAAAAGACUGGGUGAUGGCAUAGAGCAAUAAAUUCAAUCUUCUCUCUUCCCAUCAUCUCCUAAGAUGCCAAACUGGCUGGUAAUCAAAACCCUAAGGAGAAAACAUAUGCUCCAGACACCAGCUUCAUCUUGGCAAUGGUCUGCAUUUAACUUGACAGUAAAUAGGAGGUGACAGCUGAAUCUGGUGUGGAGAUUCCAGAAGGGUGAUUUUCUUGGAGGACGUUAACGGGAAGCUCACCUAUUGCAAAUAAUUAUCAUUGCAAAUACAUGAGAGCAGAGGAUACAGGAUUUUACAGAAGAAAAUUCUGGAAUCCCUGGACAGGGUUGAAGUGAAAUGGGAAAUAAUGUUGACGGAAUACAUCCUGUUGAUGAGACCAUGGCUGCCAUCACCACCUCCGUUCCACAAGUUUCUUUAGAAAUUCCUUUUAAUCAGCCAUGUCUGAAAUUGGCACUGCAGAAAAUAUUUUUCCCCACAAAUGUGCUUAAAUAUAUACUGAACAGUAAUAAUUAACCCUUAUCUUUGUCAUGUAUUUGUGGAGUGUUCAAAGUGCUUUCACAUUUACAAUUCCAUGUUUUUCACAAUGACCUUUUGAGGAAAGUGCAGCAUUAUUAUCCCCCUUUUCCGUAUGAGGAAUCUAAAAUGCUAAAUGGCACAGGGAACCUACCUAAUGUUCAUGGUUAGUAAGUGAAAAAGACUCCCUUGCGACUUAAAUUUGCAUCUCCUUUGUCCUUAUCUUUAUGUGAAGAUUUCUAUUAUUUUCCCAUUAGGCAAUGAUAGUCAUGAUCCGUCCCCUUUUUGGAGAAUUUCCUCCCAUAUUAAUUAUAUUUUCUUACGCAACAGUUUUAUGUCAGUCCUUGCCGCUUUGAGGGUCACAAGAGACUAACAUUCGCUGUUGCAUCCUGCAUAGUUUUGGGAGGAUGUUAUGGAAAAUUGGCAGCCUAUCAUUUCCUUCUUCCGGUUUGAUCCCAGGCUUUCAGAAGAUUGGAGACUUGAACUUAUCUGUGUAAGUUAGGUGAGGGUUGAAUUACUGAACACCUGGUCAGAGUAAGACUUCAUUUAUCUUUUCAUACCUUAAGUCUGUUCACCUUCUAAUCUUUUCUGAAUAGGACAUCAACUGUAACACAAUGGAUUCCCUUCCUUUUUCUGUCUGGGGUCAAAUAUAGUAAAAUCCACUGUCCUUCACAAGAAGAAACUCUCUUCUCUGGCUCAGAGACUUUCACAUUCCUUCCAUGUUACUCAGCAUUUUACAGGCAUUUUGAGGCAUAAAACACCCCCACCCCAUGUCCCCCCGCCCCUCAUUUGAAACAGGAAAUUGCCUCUGAGAAAUUCUUGGGUGAAGAAAAACAAUGGAAUGAAAUCCUAUGUAAGACAUCUCAUGAAAGUUACAAUAGCUUUUUGUAAAAACCCCAGUGUUCUCAUCCUUUUACUAGUAGUUCUAGUCACACAUUAACAGCAUUUUAUUAGUAAUUAUGUCAGUGGUUGUUAAAAUCACCUCUUCUACGGUUUCAAAAGGACUGGUUUGGUUAUCUCUAUAAUAGACCAUCCCCAAAUUGACUUGACUUGUAACAGCAUUUGUCCAUUUGCUUAUGAUUUUGCAAUUUGGGGAGGCCAAAGAAGUAAUUUGGGUGAUUCUACUCAUCUCUCUCAGAGUCUGUCAUGCAGCUGCAGUGGUCUGGAGGCUUAAGUGGGGCAGGAAUGUUCAAGACGCUUUCUGUGCAAAGCUGAAAAGUAUCUCCCAAAUUUCACAUUUACCCAGAACCUCAGAAUGUGAUGUUAUUUGGAAAGGGGUCUUUGCAGAUGUAAUUAGCUAAGAUGAAAUCAUGCUGGGGUAGAAGGGGCCCUAAUUCAACAUGACCGGCGUCCUGACAGGGAGAAAAAAGGAAGAACACCAUGUAACAAGAGACAGAUAUUAGAGUGACGUCACUGUAAGCCCAGAAACACCGAGAAUUGUUGGGAACCACCAGAAGCUGGAAGAAGCAAGGAACACACUCUCCCUCAGAACCUGCAGAAGGAACCAGCCCUACCUACACACCUUGCUUUUGGACUUGUAGCCUCCAGAAGUAUGAGUGAAUAAAUUUUCUAUUGUUUUAAGCCACCCAGUUUGUAAUAGUUUGUUAUAGCAGCCCUAGGAAACGAGGACAGAUUUACUUGCCUUGGCUGGGAUGGCUGGAACAGCUGGGGACUGACCAGCCCUCCUCCCUCCACCCCUUCCCCCUCCCAUCUCUCUGGGUCUCUCCAACCAUGUGGUCUCUCCACCACAGUAGGUGGGCCCCUUUAGGUGGAGGCUCCAUGUUGCAAGAGUGAAAGUAGAAGCUACUAGACAUCUUACGGAUCAGGCCCAGAGCUAUCACCAGCUUACCUCUGCCAUGUUCUGUUGGUUAAGGCAAAUUGCAGAGUCUGCUCAGAUUCGGGAGGAGGAAACAGACUCCACGUGUUGAUGGAGGAGUGAUAGAGGCAUGGAAGGCAUGGAAGGACUUGGUGUCCAUCUUUGGAAACAGUCUCAAACAAGGAUUGUGUCCACCUGAGUUUGAGUGAGUAUUUUACUACAUGACCUCUUAGUACAAGUUAUGAUACAGGCUUCACAAGACUUCUUUUUUCUUUAAUUAAAAAAAAAUUAUUUUAGAGAGAGCACAAGGGCCAGAGGGGCCGAGAGAGAAGGGCACAGAGGAUCUGAAGUGGGCUCUAUGCUGACAACAGCGAGCCUCAUGUGCGGCUCAAACUCACAAACUGUAGGAUUAUGACUUGAGCUGAACUCAGAUGCUCAACUGACUGAGCCACCCAGGCACCCGGCUUAACAAGAAUUCUUAGACUGACAGUCUUCUAAAUGUUCAGGUCGUGUCUUUGAAUGUCUGCCAGCCUAAGCCUGUGUGUUGGCCUCUCCCAGCAGGGCAAGCAGAAGUCCAGGGUUCGGGCAGCCCACGCUGAGGCUCUAGGAUCUAGGAUUCAGCGUGGGGGUGGGUGCAGUGGCCCAUGGGAAAGAUACUGUGGCAUUGCCUGUGGCAGAAGUGACUGUUUCUGAAGUCGGUUGUGACCACGAUACGUGCCAUUCUCCAGACUAGAGUUUAUAGGAAGAAGGUGCCUUUCUGGGAAAGAUUGUAAAUGUUGACAGUCAGGGCAAUGCGUGUGAACAGGCGAAAAAGGAGAAGUAGCUGUAAGAAUAAAAAUCAGCAGCUGAAAACUUGAGAGUUUUAGAGACCACAAGUAUUGAACUUGAGUUGCUUUGAUUCUAAAUCCCUGUACCUUCCACCACACUCUUCACGGUAUUUUCUUGAAGUACUGAAACAUCUGUGCAGGAACCUAAAAAAUGAUUAAAAAAAACCCAAAACCAAACAAACACAAAAACCCAAAGAAGCUAUAACUUAAUGUCAUUAAGAAACGGAAUGAUAUUGUGGAGUAAUGUGAUAGAUGUCUCUUUCUCAGGCAACAUACUUUUUUCCUUAAAAAUGCAUUACUAAUAUCUGACACACACAAAAGAAUACACGUAUUCCACAGGGAAAUAAUAAUAUGCGCUGUGAAGCCACCCCCCAACUUAGGAACUGGAGCAUCGACAAUAUCGUGGCAUCAGACUUCUUCCCCUUUUCCAUCUGGAUAGUCUCCAUCUGAUCUUUAACCACAAUUCUGAAUCUUGUAUUUAUCAUGGCCUUGGCUAUUAGGCAACUAGAUCUUCAGGUUCUAAUUAAGAGGGGGAAAUCUAGCUUGGCUCCUCGUUAACUCGAAAACGAUUUUCUGGUUAUUAGCGUGUUAACUCAUCUGUAUUUUGCGUAUCCUGUAAAAGCGUGGCAGCGACACCUCUAUGAUGAGCAGCCUCUAGAAGUGGUAGUGAUACCAUGAGCGCUGCUGGGAUUGUGAUAAUGCCUCACAGUUAACCAGAUGUAGCAGCUUCCUUCCACUGGUCUUCUGCAGGCACUGUGGGCCCAGGACACUUUCAAAGACCUUCUUUCGUAUUCUGCUCUUCAGCUGCAUGUCUUUUUCAUCUUCUCCUUGGGCGUGUAGCUCAGCUGUUCUCCAACUCGCAUCUGUAGCUUCGAGAAGACUGGAGAGACUAAAGAGUUUCAGAGCAGACAAUGUGGCAGCCAUGGGGCUGUACCAACAGAAGUGUGUGAAGUAAUUUGCAUAAUCUGUUUUCCAAGAAAAUCGCAGAAGCAUGGAAAAGCUUUUUCGGGAAUAGGCAAAACCUCAAAGGCAAAGAGUCCACCUGGGACAUCCUUGCUGCUGAGUUACUUCAGGGGCGUAUAAAUCAUGCCAAUUCUGUUAUGAUCACUUUCAUUGCAGACAAAUACGUUUUUUUCCACUCGGAGAGUUUUUAAUUUCAUUUCCCUUUUAUAAAAGUAAAAUGAUAUGCACACGGGUUUUUGUUGUUGUUGUUGUGCAGAAGAUUUAAUAAUAAAGUGAGCUGUUGCCUCCUCUCGCAUCCCCAGGACAACUUCCUAGAGUCACAUCCACUGUUAGUAGUUUUCAGUUCCAUUUCUUCCGGUGGCCACCUCAAAUAAUGCUUAGCUAAUAUCCUUAGACGAUAUGCUACUUCUUGACUGUGUAUUCAUUCAUCCCUAUUGACUUUUGAUAGUAUUCUGUUUUUUUCUAGUGGCUGCAACUGCAUUCCGUUUGAUCUCGUAACUUACUACGUUCCCGCAUUGAGGGACGUGCCUGCUGCUCAAACGCACCAGGUUUCCUUCUGCCUCAGUUUCCUCGUCCUUGCUGUUCCUAACGCCUGGAAUGCAUUUCCUCCCAGUAUGCACACGCCCCACUCCCUCUGGUCUUUACUUGAGAGUCAUUUCAAGAAGACAGAGCUGGGCUUGAAGUCCAGACCCUAGCUCCAGAGCCCUUGCUCCUAAGGCACUACACACAUCCCCGAGUCAAGGUCGACAAUACUGCGUUCUGUUCUGUGCUUACAUCGAAAUCUUCCCUGAGUGGAUUUUAAAGUUUGAAAACUAAUAGUCUGUUUUUACACUGCAUAUUAGGAUUUUUGUCCUUCUUUGCAGCUCCCGAGUCAUGACUUUGUUGCCACUCGGAGGAGACUGCUCCCAGCCACUUCCUUCCUUUGUGCCCGACUUUAUUUCCCUCUCUGACGCUGGAGGCUGGUGAGGCUGUCAUCAGUCGGAGGUGGUGUUCCCUUCACUGAAAUGGCCAAUGGUGGUCCCUCUCUUAUUCUCUUUGCUGCUACGGAUUUAUUCCUUUAUUUCCAUUUGGUUGACAUCUCAAGUGUAGUGGAAGGCAUGGCAGAAGCAGCGGAACGAGGGAGGGAAAGCAGAUGCCAGUGUUCAGUGACUCACCUUGAGCUGGAAGCCCCAGCAGAUAGAGUUUUUGAAAUUUUAUUUUAAGAUGAGAACCUGGGGUGCCUGGGUGGCUCAGACGGUUAAGCAUCUGACCUAGGUUUAGGUCAUGAUCUCACGGUUGGUGAGUUGGAGUCUCACACUAGGGGGCUUGAUUGACUCUCUUUCUCUCCCUCUGCCUCUCCCUCUCCCUCUCCCUCUCUCCUUCUCCCUCUCUCCCUCUCCCUUUCUCUCUCUCUGCCCCUCAUGCGAUUCUCCCUCUCUCUCUCCCUCUAGCUCACUGCACCCUCUCUCUCUCUCUCUCUCAAAAAUAUAAAUAAAUAAAAAUACAAUGAGAAUCUGGAACAAAAAAGUUAGGGGGAGAACUAGAAUUUAUUGAAUGGCUCACCAUGUGCCAGACACUGAAAGAAGUUAUUUCUCUCAUAUCAGUGAACCGAAUCUUCUCUGUCCCCAAAGGAGAUGGCUACAUUGAUUUCUUUUUUGUAGAUGAGGAAACUGAAGCUUACUUAGAAAGUUAAGGAACUGGCCCGAGAUGACAGUCUGAGAGGCUAAAGGAUCUUACGAUGGGAUGAGAGGAGAAUUUUAGAGGCUUGAAAUCUUCUCUUCAUGCCACUCAUGUGACGUUUGGGGCCUUCAGUGCCCUCUCACAAGGGAGAUUCAGAUCAGAAGCCCCGGGAUAAAUAUAGUCUGGCGACUGUUGGGCGUAUGGUCUCCUCGAGGAGAAACCUAGGCUUUUGCUUACAGCCUCCAGGAGUACCCAUCAGCUCGUGGGCAAGCAGUUCGUGCUUCUCUCUGUGUUGUCACCCUGGACAGAAGCUAUAUGGCUUAUGUUUGCUACCAGGGAGGGAUAUUAGCUUUUAUUUUUGAGGAGUAGAAAAAAGUAAAUGAGGGUAUAUUUUAAAAGUGAUGAAAAUUGGUAGAAUACACCCAUGUACUUCCAAACCCCUGUAUUUUCUGAACUAAUUAUAUAAAAAGAUCAUACGUCUUUAAAAGAAGCCUGAUGAUGCGCACACAGUUGAGAGUUCAUUGGAUUAGACUAUUGUGCAAAUUUAUAUAAAAUAGAGUAAAAGGACUUGCAAACCCCUAAAAAUAAAGCCAGCCUCUACCAUUCCUAACGAUAUUCUGAAAAUUCCUAAAUAUACCUUUGAUGAAUUUU